GAUGAACGCUAGCGGCAGGCUUAAUACAUGCAAGUCGAGGGGCAGCACAGGUAGCAAUACUGGGUGGCGACCGGCAAACGGGUGCGGAACACGUACACAACUUACCUUCUGGUGGGGGAUAGCCUUUGGAAACGGAGAUUACUACCCCAUAUUAUAUAUGAGCUGCAUGGUUUGCAUAUUAAAGAUUUAUUGCCGGAAGAUGGGUGUGCGUAUGAUUAGGUAGUUGGCGGGGUAACGGCCCACCAAGCCGACGAUCAUUAACUGGUGUGAGAGCACGACCAGUCACACGGGCACUGAGAGACGGGCCCGACUCCUACGGGAGGCAGCAGUAAGGAAUAUUGGUCAAUGGACGGAAGUCUGAACCAGCCAUGCCGCGUGGAGGAUGAGGGUCCUCUGGAUUGUAAACUUCUUUUAUAGGGGGCGAAAAAAGGGAAUUCUUUCUCGUCUGACGGUACCCUAUGAAUAAGCACCGGCUAACUCCGUGCCAGCCGCCGCUGUAAGAC
rnacentral:rRNA from 1 species